rnacentral:rRNA from 1 species
GAUGAACGCUGGCGGCGUGCCUAAUACAUGCAAGUAGAACGCUGAAGGAAGGAGCUUGCUCUUUCCGGAUGAGUUGCGAACGGGUGAGUAACGCGUAGGUAACCUGCCUGGUAGCGGGGGAUAACUAUUGGAAACGAUAGCUAAUACCGCAUAACAGUAGAUGUUGCAUGAUAUCUACUUAAAAGGUGCAAUUGCACCACUACCAGAUGGACCUGCGUUGUAUUAGCUAGUUGGUGAGGUAACGGCUCACCAAGGCGACGAUACAUAGCCGACCUGAGAGGGUGAUCAGCCACACUGGGACUGAGACACGGCCCAGACUCCUACGGGAGGCAGCAGUAGGGAAUCUUCGGCAGUGGACGGAAGUCUGACCGAGCAACGCCGCGUGAGUGAAGAAGGUUUUCGGAUCGUAAAGCUCUGUUGUAAGAGAAGAACGAGUGUGAGAGUGGAAAGUUCACACUGUGACGGUAUCUUACCAGAAAGGGACGGCUAACUACGUG